rnacentral:sRNA from 1 species
UUAAAUAAAAGAAAAAUCUCUAAUUUUCGAACAAAAAUAUUAACAUGCGGUAUACCGCGGGUCAACCUCUAGAUAAUACAAGUUUUAAAUCUUUAUUACCUCUUAAAAACUCGAACCACAAAAAAAAAAGGAGAUUUACAAAACUACCCUUUUUUUACUACCCUUUUGCAACAAUACCCUUUUAUAUUGUUCAUUUUUAAAAAUUUCUCUUCCCUUGAACAGAAUGACCAAAUUACCCUCAUCUAAUAAGAACAUGUAAUUAGAAACUAAAAGUUUUCUGCCAAAUUUUUUUUCGCGCCAAAAAAAUAUUUCCGCCAAACUUUUUUUCCCGCCAAAAAAUAAUUUUCCCGCUAAAAUUUUUUCUCGUAAAUUUUUUUUCCCAGCCAAAAAAAUGCUUUUAAAAAUCCUUGUAAAUUUUUUUAAAACUCUUUUAAAAAACCUUGUAAAUCAUUUUAAAACCUCUUAAAAUCUUUAUAAAGUCUUUAAAAACAUAGGUAAAUACUUUAAAACCCCUUUUUAAACCUUUGUAAAUCAUUUUAAAACUUUUUACAAUAGUUUUAUAAGAAUUACAAUCGUUUUUUAAGCAUAAGUAAGUAGCAUUGAAUGAUUACAAGGAAUUUUAAAAGCUUAUAAAAGGGUAAAACAUUAUUUACAAUCGUUUUUAAAGCAUAAGUAAGUGGCAUAGAAUGAUUUACAAGGAUUUUUAAAAAGGGUUAGCAUGGUUUACAAUGUUUUUUUAAGUAUAAGUAAGUGGUAUUGGAAUGAUUUACAAGGGAUUUUAAAAGCUUAUAAAAGGGUAAAACAUGAUUUACGAUCGUUUUUAAAGCAUAAGUAAGUGGCAUAGAAUGAUUUACAAGGGAUUUUAAAAGUGUUUGUAUGGUUUACAAUCGUUUUAAAGCAUAAAGAAGUGGCAUUGAAUGAUUUACAAGGGAUUUUAAAAGAGGUUAACAUGAUUUACAAUCGUUUUUAAAGCAUAAGUAAGUGUCAAAAAAUAAUUUACAAGGGAUUUUAAAAAAGGUUUGCAUGGUUUACAAUCGUUUUUAAAAGAUAAGUAAGUGGUAUAGAAUGAUUUACAAGGAUUGUAAAAGCUUAUAAAAAGGUAAAACAUGAUUUACAAGAGUUUUUAAAGAGUUUUAAAAGGAUUUACAAGGAUUUUAAACCUUUGUAAAUCCUUUUAAAACUCUUAUAAAGUCUUUACAAGCAUUUUUUAACUCUUAGAAAAAGAAUUGUAAGUAUUUAAAACAUUUACAACUCUUUUUGAACCAUUUUAAAACUCUUGUAAACCUUUACAAAAGGUUUUAAAAAGAUUUAUAAGAGUUUUUAAAGGGUUUUCUUAUAAUUUCUUUAAAAUCUUUUAAAAACUCUUGUACAUCUUUUAAAACACUUUAAAAAUCUCUUGUAAAUAUUUUAAAACACUUUUAAACACUUUAAAAAUCUUUUAAAAUCUCUUGUAAGUUUUUUAAAGCCCUUUAAAAUCCCUUGUAAAAAUUUUAAAACCCUUUUAAAAUCUCUUAUAAAUCUUUUAAACCCUUUUAAAAUCUUUUGUAAAUCUUUUAAAAUAUUUUAAAAUCCUUUUAAAAUCUCUUGUAAAUCUAUUUCCCGCCAAAAAAAAAAAUACGGGAAAAAUGUUUUCGAAAUUUAUUUUUGGCGAGAAAUUUUUUGGCGGAAAAUUUUUUUCCGAAAUUUUUUGGCGGGAAAAUUUUGGCAGGAAAUUUUAUUUUGGAAUAUUUUAGGCGAAAAAUAUAAAUAUUUCAUUUUGUUAACCUAAAUCAAUUUACAAAUAGGGGUAAAAUGGUCAUUAAAAAUUUAAAUCGGAUAUAAAUGAAAAUGGUAAAUAGAAAAAGUAGAAUUGAAAAGGGUUAGUGUGAAAAGGCAUUACAAAGAAUUUUUCCAAAA